rnacentral:rRNA from 1 species
CCUACGGGUGGCAGCAGUGGGGGAUAUUGCACAAUGGGGGGAACCCUGAUGCAGCGACGCCGCGUGGGUGAAGGAGCGUUUCGGCGCGUAAAGCCCUAUCGGCAGGGAAGAAGAUGACGGUAUCUGACCAAGAAGCACCGGCUAACUCCGUGCCAGCAGCCGCGGUAAUACGGAGGGGGCAAGCGUUAUACGGAUUUACUGGGGGUAAAGGGGGCGCAGGCGGGAAUGCAAGUCAGGAGUGAAAGCCCGGGGCCCAACCCCGGGACUGCUUUUGAAACUGGAUGGCUGGAGUACAGGAGGGGCAGGCGGAAUUCCUGGUGUAGCGGUGAAAUGCGUAGAUAUUAGGAGGAACACCGGUGGCGAAGGCGACCUGCUGGACUGUGACUGACGUUGAGGCCCGAAGGCGUGGGGAGCAAACAGGAUUAGAUACCCUUGUAGUC